GUUGCUGACAUCUAUGGGGUUGUUUGUGUCUGGGGGAAGUAAUUCAUACAGCCAUUGAGCGGAACUGCCUGGGCCAUCUUGCUCACCUGUAUGUGUGUUCCCUCAUAUUUAGAGUUGAGCCAUAGUUGAUACGUUAGAGAAUAGGUUCCACUUGAAAAGCUAAGUUUCAUUUCCGCAUCCUGGAACCUUCUCCCCAGAGAAGAGCUUUAAACAACCCAGACCAGACCCUGGAGUCGUUGCAGAGCUAACUGAUUUUUAAAAGGUUGCUGCAGAGGCUCAAGUGUGUGAAGGCUCAGCUGGGCUGCUGCUGGGUGCAGAGGUGGAAGUGGCCGAGGCUUGGGCAGCCAGGUCGCGGUAAGCUGGUGACUUGAGGAAGCGCGGAUAGGAGUCCUUCUCCAUCAACGUGCGGGUCUUCCCCUGAGCCACGUCGAAGCAACUGGUAGUGGCGGCCUGUAGGUUUGUCUUGGUCAGUUCUCGGGUCUCGUGAUCUAUGUUCACCUGUGGGAAGCAGGGCAAACAACAAAGGUGAGUGGGGUGGAGUGAGGUGACCAGGCAAGGCAGGGCAGGGCAGGGCGGGGAG
rnacentral:lncRNA from 1 species